CAAUAGCGUAUAUUAAAGUUGUUGCAGUUAGAACGCUCGUAGUCGGAUUUCGGGGCGGGCCGACCGGUCUGCCGAUGGGUACGCACUGGCCGGCGCGUCCUUCCUUCCGGAGACCGUGCCUACUCUUAACUGAGCGGGGGCGGGAGACGGAUCGUUUACUUUGAAAAAAUCAGAGUGUUUCAAGCAGGCAGCUCGCUCUUGCAUGGAUUAGCAUGGGAUAAUGAAAUAGGACUUUGGUGCUAUUUUGUUGGUUUCGAACACCGAAGUAAUGAUUAAAAGGGACAGUCAGGGGCACUCGUAUUCCGCCGAGAGAGGUGAAAUUCUCAGACCAGCGGAAGACGAACCACUGCGAAAGCAUUUGCCAGGGAUGUUUUCACUGA
rnacentral:rRNA from 1 species